CUGCAGGCAACAAAACAACUUUAUCUAAAUUAAAGGGAUUCUAUAGGUGUGUUUUUCCUGGCACUAUAGGUUUAAUUGGACUCCCAUACUUUAGCCACUUACCUGAAUCUAGCGCUGGGUCAGGUUUUGCCCACGCUUGCCAGCCGGCAGGGGAGACCCAAUGCACAUACUUGGUAAUGGCUUAGAGCUGCAAUGUAAACUCUGGAACUGUAAUGUUUUACAUUGCAGCACUAAGUGCAAAAGGGUCCCAGCACCCAGACUACUUCAAUUAGAUGUUGUUAUGGUGUAUAGAAGCACUCUUACCUCAAGGGGUUAAAACUUUCUCAAACUGUUUAACUCCAAAGGUACCUCCAGCAUUGAUAUCCUCCCCUCCCCCUGCGGCUUCAGAUUUAGGAAGGGUGUGGUGGUGUUUGGCCGAGAGUGGUUGACUGGGGCUCUUAGUGAGAGACGUAUCUCAAGUGAAUGGCGAGUCACUGAUUGACUAAAAGCACUAGUUAACCACUCUCAGCCAAUCAGCUUUCUGGUGGCACCCCGCACUUCCUGAAUCUGAAAAAACAAGCUGGAUUAGGCCUGUGGGGGUGGACGUAGUUGCUGGAAGCAGUAAUUGGGUUAUACUGUUUGAGGACGGUUUAACCGUUUUGAGGUA